rnacentral:rRNA from 1 species
UACAGAGGAUGCAAGCGUUAUCCGGAAUGAUUGGGCGUAAAGCGUCUGUAGGUGGCUUUUUAAGUCCGCCGUCAAAUCCCAGGGCUCAACCCUGGAAUGCCGGUGGAUACUGCCGGGCUGGAGUCCGGAAGAGGCGAGUGGAAUUCCUGGUGUAGCGGUGAAAUGCGCAGAUAUCAGGAGGAACACCAAUGGCGAAGGCAGCUCGCUGGGACGGUACUGACACUGAGACGCGAAAGCGUGGGGAGCAAACAGG